rnacentral:ncRNA from 1 species
AUGAUGGUAUGGGGAGAGACUUGGCGGUUAUUUUGCACUGGCAGGCGCCGAAGGAGCAAGCUGAAUGAUUCAGUGAAUCUCUCAGGCAAAAGUACUCUUACCGGACG